GUGUGUGUGGGGCAGGGGGCCGGGAUGAGCGUGCAGACGGAGGACAACUGUGUCCCCGAGGCGGGCAAGUGGGCCAGAGCGUGCAGGGUCACUGGGCAAAAAUCCCCCAUUGCACGYGCAGCCGUGGGCAAGCCGUGCAGGAGAAGGCCUGAAGUGCCCAGGGGAAGGGGCUGAGCACCCCUAGCAGCAAUGAGAGCCUGGGCUCCGGCUGGCUCACGGGUCGCUCUGGUGCCGGGAAGGGGCUAUCCGUCGGCCCUCCCCUUGCAGCGAGGACAAUCCCGUAGACGGAGGAAUGCACAGAGAAAUGCAAAGGGAUGAAGCACAUUUGCACUGGUGGGGCUCUCUUGAGGGCCAUCUCUUUGGGAUGAGAUAGCUACAGCGUUGCGGUCCCCUUGGCAUCCCCCUGUUUUGUGGGAUGUGGCCGGGGGGGGCUGCCAGGCUCGGUCUUGCCUUGUCUUGAGCACAUCCGAGCCCAGUCCCCUGUCGGCGGCACGCUGGGCUCAUGAGCAUGGCAAGGAUGCACUUUAUCAGAGCAGGGGAAGGAGGGUGCGGGGUGCCUCUGGCUGCAGGAGCGCCACCAGGGAGCACGUCUGGAUAAUCAGGAGGAGAGCGUGAUGGAGGASAGCAGGCUUCUUCCCCCACGCUUCCUCUUCCCUCCUCUGCCCCCUCCUUUCCCUGCAAUGCACUUUAAUGGAUGAGGAUGUGGUUCAGCCUGUGACUCCGGCUCCUGAGGAGCAUCCUGCCUUCCCAGCUGCCACCGGAGCUGCUGAUGAACCUCACCCCGUUUAAAAUUGCUCUGGCCCCUCUGCGCGGCUCUUUCAGCCCAGAGAAAUGGAUGUAGCAGGUCUCCAGGACCUCUGUGGGGUGUGCGGUGCAGGGACACGCAGCCUUUGGGGGUCACCGAUGCCUGAACCCAGCCUCAGCCCCCAACCUGGCUGGCUGGCGUGGGCCAGCCUUCCCCAGGAUCGCCCCCACAGCAGCCCAGCCAGCAGGAGCGGACGGCCCCGGCUCUGGACCCAGCGCUUCCUCGCCAGGC
rnacentral:lncRNA from 1 species